UACGUAGGGUGCGAGCGUUAAUCGGAAUUACUGGGCGUAAAGCGUGCGCAGGCGGUUCGUUAUGUCCGAUGUGAAAGCCCCGAGCUCAACUUGGGAAUGGCAUUGGAAACUGGCGGGCUGGAGUGUGGCAGAGGGGGGGUGGAAUUCCACGUGUAGCAGUGAAAUGCGUAGAGAUGUGGAGGAACACCGAUGGCGAAGGCAGCCCCCCUGGGGCC
rnacentral:rRNA from 1 species